GUUGCGGUGGCCGAGUGGUUAAGGCGUUGGACUAAAAAUCUAAUGGGAUCUUCCCGCGCAGGUUCAAAUCCUGCUCGCAACG
rnacentral:tRNA from 2 species